AUUGAACGCUGGCGGCAGGCCUAACACAUGCAAGUCGAGCGGAUGAGAGGAGCUUGCUCCUCGAUUCAGCGGCGGACGGGUGGGUAAUGCCUAGGAAUCUGCCUAGUAGUGGGGGACAACGUUUCGAAAGGAACGCUAAUACCGCAUACGUCCUACGGGAGAAAGUGGGGGAUCUUCGGACCUCACGCUAUUAGAUGAGCCUAGGUCGGAUUAGCUAGUUGGUAGGGUAACGGCCUACCAAGGCGCCGAUCCGUAACUGGUCUGAGAGGAUGAUCAGUCACACUGGAACUGAGACACGGUCCAGACUCCUACGGGAGGCAGCAGUGGGGAAUAUUGGACAAUGGGCGAAAGCCUGAUCCAGCCAUGCCGCGUGUGUGAAGAAGGCCCUCGGGUCGUAAAGCACUUUAAGUUGGGAGGAAGGGCUUACAGCGAAUACCUGUGAGUUUUGACGUUACCGACAGAAUAAGCACCGGCUAACUUCGUGCCAGCAGCCGCCGUAA
rnacentral:rRNA from 1 species